CCUACGGGAGGCAGCAGUGGGGAAUAUUGCACAAUGGGGGAAACCCUGAUGCAGCGACGCCGCGUGAGUGAAGAAGUAAUUCGUUACGUAAAGCUCUAUCAGCAGGGAAGAAAAUGACGGUACCUGAGUAAGAAGCCCCGGCUAACUACGGGCCAGCAGCCGCGGUAAAACGUAGGGGGCAAGCGUCAGCCGGAUUUACUGGGGGUAAAGGGAGCGUAGACGGUGCGCCACGUCUGGAGUGAAAUGCGGCCGCUUAACUGCGGAACUGCGUUGGAAACUUGCGAACUAGAGUGCGGGAGGGGUAAGCGGAAUUCCUAGUGUAGCGGUGAAAUGCGUCGAUAUUAGGAGGAACCCCGGUGGCGAAGGCGGCUUACUGGACCGUACCUGCCGUUGAGGCUCGAAAGCGUGGGGAGCAAACAGGAUUAGAUACCCUGGUAGUC
rnacentral:rRNA from 1 species